GCCGCCGCCCUCCCCGCAGCCCGCCCGCCGCGUCUUCGGGGCCGCCGCCGCCGCCGCCGCGACCGCAGGCUGAGCCCAGGCGGGCCGGCCGCCCCGAGCCGCCCCCCGCCUCCGCCGCCGCCGCCGCGCCCCGGCCCGGCCCGCUCCCAACGGAAAGUUGGGCUGCGGCGGGCGGCGUCUGGAACCCGCGGGCCGGCAUGAGCGGGGGCCGCGGGGGCGCCUAGGGCACCGGGAGGCGGCGCCGCGCGGGGGCAACUUCGCCCGGGAGCCCACGCCGCCGGGCCCCGCGCCUGCAGCCCCGAGCCGGCUCGCGGUGGUUCCUCCCGUCCCGCGGCCUCCCCUCGCCGACUCCAGGCGCGGACCUUGGUCCCGGCGGCUCCGCCGCGGUGACACGAGCCCGCGCCGCCGCUGCCGCUGCCGCCGCUGCCGCUGCCGCCGCUGCCGCCGCCUCCUCAGCCCCCGCCGCCGCCUUCCCCGCACCAUGGAGUUCUCCGAGAGGAAAAGAAGCAGGAAAUCCCAGAGCUUCAAACUGGUGAGCCGAGAUUAUCACCACGAGGUGUAUAAGAUCCCAGAAUUCAGCAACGAUGUUAAUGGGGAGGCCAAAGAGACACAGCCCAUUUUUUUAGGAGAUGAAAGCAUGGAAAUAAAAAAGCAAAUUACAGGGAUGAGAAGAUUGCUGAACGACAGCACUGGGCGGAUCUAUCAGCGAGUUGGCAAAGAAGGAGAGAAACUAAAAGAAGAGCCCCAGGACCUGGAUUUAGUCUGGCCUCCACGUUUGAACUCCUCUGCUGAGGCCCCGCAAAGCCUCCACCCGUCUUCACGUGGUGUGUGGAAUGAGCUACCGCCCCAGAGUGGACAGUUCUCAGGGCAGUAUGGCACCCGUUCUAGAACCUUCCAAAGCCAGCCCCACCCUACCACGAGCUCCAAUGGUAUGGUUGUCAACAAACAUUCAGAAGGCUCUCAUGGGGGAGAACUUCCAGUGGUGAAUUCAUCAGCUGGAUCAAACUGCUGUACUUGUAACUGCCAGUCAACGUUGCAGGCCAUUCUACAAGAACUCAAGACCAUGAGGAAAUUAAUGCAAAUUCAAGCAGUUGGAACUCAAAACAGACAACAACCUCCAAUUUCCCUUAUAUGCUCCCAGCGAACUGCUGUCUCACGAAAGAGAAAUAAAAAGAAAAAAGUGCCCCCAAAGACUGUGGAACCUCUUACUGUGAAACAGAAGCCCAGUGGGUCAGAGAUGGAGAAAAAGUCGGUGGUGGCCUCUGAGCUAUCUGCUCUCCAGGCAGCCGAGCACACCUCCCCGGAGGAGAGCCGCGUUCUAGGAUUCGGCAUUGUUCUGGAAUCACCUUCCUCAGAUCCAGAAGUACAACUUGCUGAAGGCUUUGACGUGUUUAUGCCUAAAUCUCAGCUGGACUCUAUAUUGUCAAACUACACUCGCUCAGGAAGCCUUCUGUUUAGAAAACUGGUGUGUGCGUUUUUUGAUGACAAGACUUUGGCUAACUCCUUACCCAAUGGGAAGAGGAAAAGAGGACUCAAUGACAACCGGAAAGGACUAGACCAAAAUAUUGUGGGUGCAAUAAAAGAUGCCCCUUGGAGCAGCAGCCCUACAGUCAGAGCUCCUGAGUCCAACAGCAAUAACAGGUAUCAACCUGAGUUUAACAGCAAUGAUGAGUAUCGACCAGAGUCCAAAAGCGAUGAUGGGUAUCAACCCGAGUCCAACACUGAUGAUGGGUAUCAACCCAAGUCUAACAGCGAUGAUGGGUAUCGACCCGAGUCCAACACUGAUGACGGGUAUCGACCUGAGCCCAACACUGAUGACGGAUAUCGACCGGAGUCCAACAGCGAUGACGGGUAUCGACCCGAGUCCAACAGCGAUGACGGGUAUCGACCCGAGUCCAACAGCGGUGACGGGUAUCGACCCGAGUCCAACAGCGGUGACGGGUAUCAACCCGAGUCCAACAGCGGUGACGGGUAUCGACCCGAGUCCAACAGCGGUGACGGGUAUCGGCCCCGAGUGUAACAGUGAUGACGGGUAUUGACCCGAGUCUAACAGUGAUGACAGAUAUCGGCCCCGAGUCUAACAGUCAUGACAGAUAUCAGCCCCGAGUCUAACAGUCAUGAGGAAUAUCGACCCCAAAUCUAACAGUCAUGACGGAUAUCGACCCCAAAUUUAACAGCGAUGAUGGAUAUCGACCCCGCAUCUAACAGCGAUGACGGGUAUCAGCCCCGAGUCCAACGGCGAUGAUGGGUGUCGACCCCGAGUCUAACAGCGAUGACGGAUGUCGGCCCCGAGUCUAACAGCGAUGAUGGAUAUUGACCCGAAAUCUAACAGCGAUGACAGAUGUUGGCCACAAGUCUAACAGCGAUGAUGGAUAUCGGCCCUGAGUCUAACAGCAAUGACAGGUAUCGGCCCUGUGUCUAACAGUGAUGAUGGGUAUCGACCCCAAAUCUAAGAGCGAUAAUGGAUAUCAGCCCCGAGUUUAACAGCAAUGACAGAUAUCAGCCCUGAGUCUAACUGUGAUGACAAGUAUUGGCCCCGAGUCUAACAGCGAUGACAAUAUUGGCCCUGAGUCUAACAGUGAUCACAGGUAUCGGCCCUGAGUGUAACAGCAAUGACGAGUAUCAACCCCAAGUCUAACAGCGAUGAUGGGUAUCAACCCCGAGUCUAACAGUGAUGAUGGAUAUCAGCCCUGAGUGUAACAACAAUGAUGAGUAUCACCCCCAAGUCUAAGAGCGAUGAUGGGUAUCAACCCCGAGUCUAAUAGUGAUGAUGGGUAUCGACCCCAAAUCUAACAGUGAUGACAGAUGUCGGCCCCGAGUCCAACAGCGAUGAUGGAUACCAGCCCCAAGUCUCACAGCGAUGACGAAUCGGCCCUGAGUCUAACAGCGAUGACAGGUAUUGGCCCCGAGUCUAACAGCGAUGACAAUAUUGGCCCUAACAGUGAUGACAGGUAUUGGCCCUGAGUGUAACAGCAAUGAUGAGUAUCAACCCCAAGUCUAACAGCGAUGACAGAUAUCAACCCCGAGUCUAACAGUGAUGAUGGGUAUCGACCCCAAAUCUGACAGUGAUGACGGAUGUCGGCCCCGAGUCCAACAGCGAUGAUGGAUACCAGCCCCAAGUCUCACAGCGAUGACGAUAUCGGCCCUGAGUCUAACAGCGAUGACGGAUACCAUCCCCGAGUCUAACAGCGAUGACGGAUACCAGCCCCAAGUCUCACAGCGAUGACGAUAUCGGCCCUGAGUCUAACAGCGAUGACAGAUAUCGGCCCUGAGUCUAACAGUGAUGACGAGUAUUGGCCCCGAGUCUAACAGCGAUGAUGAUAUUGGUCCUGAGUCUAAGAGAGAUGACAGGUAUCAACCCCAAGUCUAAUAGUGAUGAUGGUUAUUGACCCCAAAUCUAACAACGAUGAUGGAUAUCAGUCCCUACUCUUAAUAGCGAUGAUGGAUAUCAGCCUGAGUCUAACAGUGAUGACAGAUAUCGGCCCUGAGUGUAACAGCGAUGACGAGUAUCAACCCCGAGUCUAAGAGCAAUGACGGGUAUCGACCCUGAGUCUAACAGUGAUGACAGAUAUUGGCCCUGAGUGUAACAGUGAUGAUGAGUAUCAACCCCGAGUCUAAGAGUGAUGAUGGGUAUCGACCCCGAGUCUAACAGUGAUGACGGGUAUCAACCCCGAGUCUAACAGCGAUGACGAGUAUCAACCCCGAGUCUAAGAGCAAUGACGGAUAUUGACCCUGAGUCUAACAGUGAUGACAGAUAUUGGCCCUGAGUGUAACAGCGAUGAGUAUCAACCCUGAGUCUAAGAGCGAUGAUGGGUAUCGACCCUGAGUCUAACAGUGAUGAUGGGUAUCGACCCCGAGUCUAAGAGCGAUGACGGGUAUCAAUCCCAAGUCUUAACAGUGAUGACGGGUAUCAACCCCAAAUCUAACAGUGAUGACGGAUAUCGGCCCCAAGUCCAACAGCGAUGACGGGUACCAGCCCCAAGUCUAACAAUGAUGACGAUAUCAGCCCCGAGUCUAACAGCAAUGACGGGUAUUGACCCCAAAUCUAACAGCGAUGACAGAUAUCAGCCCCGAGUUUAACAGUGAUGACAGAUAUCGGCCCUGAGUCUAACAGUGAUGACGAGUAUUGGCCCUGAGUCUAACAGCAAUGAUGAUGUUGGCCCUGAGUCUAAGAGAGAUGACGGGUAUCAACCCCAAGUCUAAUAGUGAUGAUGGGUAUUGACCCCAAAUCUAACAACGAUGAUGGAUAUCAGCCCCUACUCUAAUAGCGAUGAUGGAUAUCAGCCCUGAGUCUAAGAGUGAUGACAGGUAUCGGCCCUGAGUGUAACAGCGAUGACGAGUAUCAACCCCGAGUCUAAGAGCGAUGAUGGGUAUCAACCCCAAGUCUAACAGUGAUGACGGGUAUCGACCCCGAGUCUAACAGUGAUGACGGGUAUCGACCCCGAGUCUAACAGUGAUGACGGGUAUCGACCCCGAGUCUAACAGUGGUGACGGGUAUCGACCCCGAGUCUAACAGUGAUGAAGGGUAUUGACCCCGAGUCUAACAGUGAUGAUGAUAUCGACCCCGAGUCUAACAGUGAUGACGGGUAUCGGCCUCAAGUCUAACAGUGAUGAUGGGUAUUGACCCCAAUUCUAAUAGCGAUGAUGGGGAUGGUGGGUAUCAACUGUACACACAACAGCCCCUGUGAAGCUUGGGCUCCUUCAGCUGUUUCUGUCAAGCACCUGGUUUUCUGAAGGUGGCUCCACCUCUGUCCUGGAAUCAGUGAGAAGGAAGGUAGCCUUGUCUGAGCUGCCCUCAUUCUUUGAACCUUGGGGGUUUAAAACUUUUUUUGUGUUAUGUGACACAAGGGUCCUGGUUUCAGACAUGGCUACAGUGCCUCACCAGGACUAGACAGAAUAGCUGCCCACUUCACCAAGGUGGAAGAAGGCAUUUCCAGACUCUAGCACAGAUCUCACUUACGGAUCACUAAACAAAUACCAUUUCAUUUUCCUUACAACCUUGUCAUGACAGUCUUGAAGAAAAUGUAGAAUCUCUUCUUGGCAUUGGCUAAAGUCCCCUUGAUUGCAUAUUUGAAACACUUGUUCAGUUGACAUUUCCCCAAACAGUGUGUUAACAGAAGACAUGAUCUUUGCUGCUUUUCAGAUACUGGAUUAAGUCAUGAGAACACCAGAAUCUUUGCAGUAUUUUCGUUGAUAUUAUAAACCUAGAAAUCAUCAGCAGGCAUGAAAUUUCUGCUAACAACAUAUUUAUUACCCCAAGCCAAUGACUGACUAAGGCCCUGAUGUUCAGAAAUGUACAGUCUAGUAAGACAUGUCAGCGAUGACCCCUAACAGAGCCAUGCUCCAGGACAGAAUAAAAUAAAUGACAAAUGUCUAUUACCUGGCAGGGGGAGGAGGAAGCACAGAGGAUGUAAAUCUCACUAGGAGAAGACCUCACAGAAUAGAUGACAUCUGAACUAGGCCUUGAAUGAAGAGAAGUAUAUCAAAUGCCGAGAGAAUGGAAAAGGUUAACUACAGAACAUGUUUAAUGAAGCUUAAAUUCAAUAAAACAUUGGGUGAAAGCCUUUUGCCUCCAGAACUGCUUAAGGCUCAUGCUCAUUGGUGGACCUUAAGUCCUCAGCAACUUGUUUACCUUAACACAUUUGACUUCAUGAAUAUAAUGCCAGUGAAAUGGACUCAGAUAUAGUUUACCUCCAAACGUUUUCAGCCAGAACUGUGCUGCUUAAAGUUGCUUCUGAAAGCUACCUCGGCCCCAUCCCACACCUUAUGAAUUCGGAUCCCUGCCGUUGGGGCCACAGUGAGUCUACGCUUCACCACCGCUUCAUCACCGGCCUUCCAUAAGCUCAAAAAAGGGAUCUCAUCUCCUCAAAACUGUGAAUUCAUAUGUUUACUACAUAAGGAGCAAAUGGAAAUGUGGAGAAACUUGUUAAGAAGGGUGUGGCUUUUUUUGAUCUUUCUUCAGCCUGUCACAUAAUGGGCAGGAACCAGUUGUGGAUUCACUUGCAAGGAUUCCACUCCAACUCCCCGUUACUGAAUUCUUACAAAACCUGCAUUUUAACACCACCACUAGGGGUGACAAAAACAGCCUCCUGUCAAAAGAGAUAUGUUUCUGGAGCAUAAACAGGGCCACUACAGUAGAAUGUGCAUUGCACACCAUUGUGGGCACUGUUGCCGUUGUGGACACUGUCGAUUUGUAUAUUUAUUGUGACAGUUUCCCUGCAGCCUAAAGUACAGUGUCUUGAGGAAAGACACCUUUCUAAUCUGAACAAUGGCUCCAUAUGUGCCAGCUGUGGCCCUGAAAAUAGAAAGCAGUGUUUUCUGCGUGGUCCAUCUCUUCUUUAUUUAACUCCCUGAAUUGUGUGGCUCAUCAGAGAUGCUCACCAGCAUCCUAAGUCUUCACAGAAAAGUACUGUACAGCUAACCAUGUGGAUAAGCUUCCUGGCCCAAGAGAUUGGGUACAGAUUCUACAG